GGGACCAGGUGUAAAGGAGUGGCUGAAGGCAGAGGAGAUGCAGAGGUGUGCUUGAUUGACAGCAGAGGGAGACAGUGUAAAACAACACUGAAAGACGCUCUAUACAUUCCCUCAUUUCCACUGAAUAUCUUCUCUGUGAGAGCGGCCACUGCGAAUGGAGCUACUAUCAUCUUUAAGAAAGGAAGGAACGUCCUUCAACACAGAGGCGGUACAAAGUUCUACAUCCAUGAGCACAACAGACUUUAUUACCUUGAAACUGUAAGUGAGUAUGAUAAGUGUAAUAAUUGUUUUGAUGUGCAGACAUGGCACGAAAUUUUGGGACAUUGCAAUCAUAGUGACAUUCUGAAGUUACAAAAUGUGGUUGAAGGUAUGAAAAUCAAAGGGAAAACAGACAACCAAAGUUUGAACUGUGAGGUGUGUAUCCAGGGAAAAUUUGUCCAGACUAGGAAUAGAAACCCUGACAGAAGAGCCGAGAAACCUCUCAAGCUGGUACAUGCGGAUCUAGCAGGGCCGAUAGAUCCAGAAUCACGAGAUGGACACAGAUAUGCAUUAUUGUUUACCGAUGAUUUUUCCGGUGCAGUAUUUGUAUAUUUUCUCAAAAACAAACGUGAAACAGUGCAAGCAACUGAAAUCUUUUUGGCCGAUACAGCCCCACACGGGAAGGUAAAGUGUAUCAGGUCAGACAAUGGCACAGAGUUCAUGGCAAAGAGUUAUCAGGCAUUGUUAAACAAACAUGGAAUAAGACAUGAAACUUCAGCCCCAUAUUCCCCUCACCAGAAUGGUACAGCAGAACGUGGCUGGAGAACACUUUUUGAUAUGGGAAGGUGCAUGCUUAUUGAGAGUACCGUACCAAAGGAAUUAUGGACAUAUGCAGUUCAAACAGCGGCUAUUGUGAGAAACAGGUGCUUUAACAACCAGACAGGACAGACACCUUACUUUUUGCUGACUGGGCGGAAGCCUAAUCUAUCCAGAAUGCGAAAGUUUGGGUGUGAGUGUUAUGCUUACAAGCAAGACAAGGGGAAGCUCAAUUCUAGGUGUACAAAAGGGAUUUUUGUAGGCUACGACAAAAACAGUCCAGCAUACAAGGUUUAUUUCCCAGACAGCGCUAAAGUGCAAAAGUUUAGGCUGGUUAAGUUUGUAACCAAACACAAUGAGGAAAAGCAAACACAAACUGAUACGACAUCUGAGGAUGAGGACAUAAAGGUGAGGGAGAGACCAAAUGUGAACAGGGAAAGCCCCAGUACCAGUUCACAGGAACCAGGUACUGACAACCAACCAGAAGUGAACAGUCAGACACCACUUAGUGAUGAGACUGAAAACUCCAGAAGGUAUCCUUCUAGAACAAGAAAGAAACCAGAUUAUCUAAAUGAAUAUGAGUCAGGAGAAGACAUUGAUGAUCAAGUGCUAACCAACAUAGACUACUGAUAAGUAACUCACCCGUGACAUUCAGUGAAGCUGUAAAGUCACCCAACUCUAAAGAGUGGAAAGCAGCUAUAGAUGAGGAAAUGCAAUCCUUAAAAGAGAACACCUUUACCCUAACAAGCUUACCUGAGGGAAAGAAAGCAGUGGGGGGUAGAUGGGUAUAUGUGAAGAAAAACAGUGGUGAUGGAGCAGAAAAAUAUAAAGCAUGCUAUGUAGCUAAAGGUUACAACCAGUGCUUUGGGAUAGACUAUGACAAAACUUUUUCUCCGACUGCUAACCUGACAAGUAUAAGAGUAUUGAUGCAGUGUGCGAUACAAGAAAACCUGAUUUUGCAUCAGAUGGAUGUAAAAACUGCAUACUUGCAUGCACCAAUAGACUUUGAAGUUUACGUUGAGCAGCCGGAAGGCUAUGAAGUGAAAGGAAAAAUGGAUGAGAAACUGGUCUAUAAGCUGGAAAAGUCACUUUAUGGGCUUGAACAGUCAGGCCGAAACUGGAACAGGACAUUACAUGACUAUUUGAUAGAGAACAGUUUCAUGCAGAGUCCUGUAGAUCAUUGUGUUUACACAAGGAAAACAAGAAAAGACAAAGUGAUCAUGAUCAUAUGGGUUCAUGAUAUUAUUAUUGCAGCCAGUGAUGAAAGUGUUUUGAAAACUGUGAAGGGAAUGCUAACUACAAGGUUCAAAAUGAAAUAUAUGGGGAAACUCAAACAUUUUCUUGGUAUUGAUUUUGAGCAAACCAAAGAUUGUGUAAAAAUGUCACAAGAGAGAUAUGUAGAAAACAUACUGGAAAGAUUUCAAAUGCAAGACUGUAAACCAAGAUCAACUCCUUCUGAACAAAAGUUGAACAACAAUGAUGAUGCUGAGAAAAUGAACAAUGUCAGAAUGUACAGAGAGGCAGUAGGCAGCCUUAUUACUUGACCUCUUGCACACGACCAGAUUUGAGUUUUGUUGUAAGUAAGCUGUCACAGCACUUCAAAGAACCAACUCUGGAACAUUGGACAACUGUGAAACAUGCUCUAAGGUAUUUGAAACAAUCAAAAGACAAGACAUUGUGCUAUAGGAAAAGUGACAAAGAUCUGAGAGUACAUGGUCACAGUGACUCAGACUGGGCUGCAGAUGUGACUGACAGGAGUAACUACAGGUUACUGCAUAAGCCUGAAUGAAAAAGGUACUUUGGUGUCAUGGCGAACAAAGAAGCAGCCAACUGUUGCCUUGUCAACUUGUGAAGCAGAGUACAUAGCUUUGGCAGCAACAACACAAGAAUAUUUGUACUUGACACAACUGUUGCAAAGCAUGUAUGAGCAUCAAAAGGGACCACCAAAGCUUUUUGAGGACAAUCAAGGGACUAUUGCAUUGGCAAAGAAUCCUGUUAACAGACAGAGGUGUAAGCAUAUCAAUAUCAAGUAUCAUUUUGUAAGAUCAACAGUUAAUGCUGGAAAUUUGAUGUUGGAAUAUUGUUCGACAGGUCUGAUGGUGGCCGAUGUUAUGACAAAGCCAGCAACAAAGGGGAAGUUAUUGAAGUUUGAGAAAUAUAUGUUUGGAGUGUAAACAAAUAGUAAAGAAAAAAAAACUGUUUCAAGUGGGGGUGUUGAGCUAGUUAAUAGGUAUGCCCUCAUUGUCAUCUGUUGUGAUUUUAUUUUGAAAGGAUGCUUCCUGUUAUGAUGUGGAGUAUACUUGAGAGUUCAAUAAACAAAGUCACAUUGGUGUGAAUGUUCCGGUACAAACCGAUGCCGCACGUGUGAUUAUUCCUCCAUCUAGAUAAUAAGUAUCUUCAGUAUUCAUGCAGAUUCCGCUGGAAGACCCGUCUCUGCUAACAGCUAACCUUUGAACAUGCUAUUAUCAAAAAUUGUGAAAUGGAUGGAAAGAUAUUGUGAUAAGAUUCUCUGCUCAAAGUGACCUGCACACAGUUCUAAUGUGUGGGGAGGUCAUUUAUACAAAUGUAAUGGCCUUCUCUUCCUGCAAAGCUACAAACAAGCUACAUUAAUUACACGUAUUAAUUGCAUCUAGGUGCUAAACGAGGUGCUAACCAAAAAUUUUGCACACUGGAUAAGAACUGAAGAACCGCAGGUCAUACUGCUAGUGACACAACAAAUUAAUAGCCCUCUGUAAACAUAAUUUACAGGUGUCUUACAGAGCAGGUGUGCUCUAAUAAAGCGCAUGGAGGUUGCAGUAUGACAUAAGUAAAUGAAAUUAGCUUGAAAUUAAUUGAGCUACACAUAUUAAGUUACAC
ensembl:lncRNA